UGAAGCUACACCUGCUUUGAGACAAAACGUCAAAAAAGGUGAUCAAUUUGAGGAUGGAUUGCCGGAAGGGGCUGAAGGAGGAAUGGUUCAAAUAAUAUCUGAAAAGCCCUGGUGGGAGAAUCAAUUUCCCAGUUUCGUCACUACGACUCCCGACGAAGAAGCUUAGCCGGUCUAUGUGACUUAUUUUAUGAUGGGACAGCAUGCCCAGCAGGUCCAAAGGCUGAUGGCACAAUGAUUGUGACUACGGAUGCUAACUUUGGCCUUGUAAGAAAAAGGAGCUCCGGAAGAAGUGUGACAGAGCCCUUGAAAGGUAACAGCAUGUUUGUGAUGGAUGAGGAUGUAGAGGAAUAUCUCCUGUCACAUUCUGAUUGCUCCAAACCAACUGAAGUGAGUAAAUACUGUUAUGUUUUUUCUUGUCAUUCCUUUAUCAUUAGUCCUUAUUACCUCUUAAUUACGUUGCGGAUAGAUAACAAAGUUAUUUCUACAUUUGCAGAUGGUAAGUGUUGGGAUUUAGGAUCUGAGUAUGGGCGUCUUAGAGGUUUACGGUAUGUUGUUAUACUUAUAAUGGCUUGAAUAAGUACCUCUGUUUUCUUAACUAAUUAGGACUGUAGCAACGUCAAAGCUGGAAAUUUACUUCGGUUGCAAAACCAACAAAAAAAACUAGAUGUGACUGGUGUAUUUGGAGCCUCAUGCCGCCAUGAAAUACCAUUAAUGUUUUUGAACAUGACUCAUGGAGAAAGGUGCGUUAAUUUAAUUUAAUUUUUUUAAGAAGCUUGUGUUCAUUAAUCUGUGCAGAAAUGGUAAAAAAUCUAAAUGCUUUCCAGAAAUGCUGGAUUCUGUGUUAUCCAUUUGUCUUAUGUAUUUAUCAGACUUUUCUUUUGAAACAGGCUUGCAUAUCCAACGUUCAUCAUAUGUGAGCUGGAGAAAAGAUAUAAGGACAAAAACAUUAAUCUGCAUUUCAUAUAUGACAUUGCAUGUGUACUUUUUGCACAUAUGCAUGUGAGUGUCUUCCUUUCUAAUUUAAUAAACAUUUAUUUUUUUGAUAAUAACACACUGCAAUGUGUUGAUCAGAAAAUCGGAGAAGGAAUUCCUCAAGGUAUUUCAAUGGCUGUACCAGCAUUUCAUGUUUAUGGACAUAAA